rnacentral:rRNA from 1 species
GACGAACGCUGGCGGCGUGCCUAACACAUGCAAGUCGAGCGAAUGAAGUUCCUUCGGGAACGGAUUUAGCGGCGGACGGGUGAGUAACACGUGGGCAACCUGCCUCAUAGAGGGGAAUAGCCUUCCGAAAGGGAGAUUAAUACCGCAUAAGAUUGUAGUACCGCAUGGUACAGCAAUUAAAGGAGCAAUCCACUAUGAGAUGGGCCCGCGGCGCAUUAGCUAGUUGGUGAGGUAACGGCUCACCAAGGCGACGAUGCGUAGCCGACCUGAGAGGGUGAUCGGCCACAUUGGGACUGAGACACGGCCCAGACUCCUACGGAGGCAGCAGUGGGGAAUAGUUGCACAAUGGGGGAAACCCUGGAUGCAGCAACGCCGACGUGAGCGAUGAAGGCCUUGGCGUAAAGCUCUGUCUCAAGGAAGAUAAAUGACGGUACUUAGGAGGAGGAAGCCCCGGCUAACUACGUGCCAGCAGCCGCGGUAAUAUAGCGUA